rnacentral:rRNA from 1 species
UACGUAGGCAGCGAGCGUUGUUCGGAAUUACUGGGCGUAAAGAGUGUGUAGGCGGUGCUCUAAGUUCGGUGUGAAAUCUCCCGGCUUAACUGGGAGGGUGCGCCGGAAACUGGAGUGCUCGAGCGUGGGAGAGGAAAGCGGAAGUUCCUGGUGUAGCGGUGAAAUGCGUAGAUAUCAGGAGGAACACCUGCGGUGUAGACGCUUUCUGGACCAUUGCUGACGCUGAGGAGCGAAAGCCAGGGGAGCAAACGGG